rnacentral:rRNA from 1 species
AUUGAACGCUGGCGGCAGGCCUAACACAUGCAAGUCGAGCGAGCGGCGGACGGGAGAGUAAUGUAGGGGGACUGCCCGAUAGAGGGGGAUAACUAGUGGAAACGGUGGAUAAUACCGCAUACUAUCGGAUAACCCAUAUGGGAUUGGCUAGUGGGUGGGGUAAAGGCACACCUAGGCGACGCUCUCUAGCUGGUCUGAGAGGAUGAUCAGCCACACUGGGACUGAGACACGGCCCAGACUCCUACGGAGGCAGCAGUGGGGAAUAUUGCACAAUGGGCGCAAGCCUGAUGCAGCCAUGCCGCGUGUAUGAAGAAGGCCUUAGGGUUGUAAAGUACUUUCAGCGGGGAGGCGUUACCCGCAGAAGAAGCACCGGCUAACUCCGUGCCAGCAGCCGCGGUAAUUC